GAUGAACGCUGGCGGCGUGCCUAAUACAUGCAAGUCGAGCGAACAGAUGAGGAGCUUGCUCCUCUGACGUUAGCGGCGGACGGGUGAGUAACACGUGGAUAACCUACCUAUAAGACUGGGAUAACUUCGGGAAACCGGAGCUAAUACCGGAUAAUAUAUUGAACCGCAUGGUUCAAUAGUGAAAGACGGUUUUGCUGUCACUUAUAGAUGGAUCCGCGCCGCAUUAGCUAGUUGGUAAGGUAACGGCUUACCAAGGCAACGAUGCGUAGCCGACCUGAGAGGGUGAUCGGCCACACUGGAACUGAGACACGGUCCAGACUCCUAAGGGAGGCAGCAGUAGGGAAUCUGCCGCAAUGGGCGAAAGCCUGACGGAGCAACGCCGCGUGAGUGAUGAAGGUCUUCGGAUCGUAAAACUCUGUUAUUAGGGAAGAACAAAUGUGUAAGUAACUAUGCACGUCUUGACGGUACCUAAUCAGAAAGCCACGGCUAACUACGUG
rnacentral:rRNA from 1 species